AAGAAAAGAAAAGAAAAGAAAGAGCAGAAGAAUCUUUGUAUAUUUCUUUUUCACUAUGCUAAUGUAUUAUCAACCAGUUGACACCUCUUCUCAACAGCAAUAUAUACUACCAUAUUCUUAAUUUUGCUACUAUGGACAUCACGUACAUUCAUGACCCCCAUUAUCAUCACCAAUACCAUUGCCACUGUUCUGGUAUCACCACCUGUACACCUCAUGCCACUGCAUCCUGACAUUGCCAUUUAUGCAUUCUCCACAAAAAUGGAAAUGAAUUGAAUAAUACCUACAUAUACCUCUCUUUGUGAACCCAAUUGCAUGAAGAUCAUAGGAGGAAUAGUAGGCGAGCCACGAGCUUAAUAGAACUGAAGUCAGAAUGAGUUAUCAUGACGAGUGAAACUAACAAUAAGCUGGCUUACAAAUUGUUUGUUGCUGUUCUUCAGUUUUAG
rnacentral:misc_RNA from 1 species